rnacentral:rRNA from 1 species
UAGCUUGCUACGAGCUGUUUUAGCGGCGGACGGGUGAGUAACGCGUGGAUAACCUGCCUCACACAGGGGGAUAACAGUUAGAAAUGACUGCUAAUACCGCAUAAGCGCACGGUACCGCAUGGUACAGUGUGAAAAACUGAGGUGGUGUGAGAUGGAUCCGCGUCUGAUUAGCUAGUUGGUGGGGUAGUAGCCCACCAAGGCGACGAUCAGUAGCCGACCUGAGAGGGUGACCGGCCACAUUGGGACUGAGACACGGCCCAAACUCC